rnacentral:sRNA from 1 species
GCUGGGUACAGUGGCUCAUGCCUAUAAUCCCAGUGGCUCUGGAGGCUGAGGCAGGAGGAUCGUAAGUUUGAGGCCACCUCAGCAGCUUAGCAAGGCCCUGAUCAAUUCAGUGAGACCCUGUCUCUA